CGACAGCAAUAUGAAGGUCAGGCUGAAGACCUUACCCGAUUAGCUGAGAGGUGGUGCAUGGCCGUCGUCAGUUCGUACUGUGAAGCAUCCUGUUAAGUCAGGCAACGAGCGAGACCCACGUCCACAGUUGCCAGCAUACCCUCCGGGGUGAUGGGUACACUGUGGAGACCGCCGCUGCUAAAGCGGAGGAAGGAGUGGGCAACGGUAGGUCAGUAUGCCCCGAAUCUCCCGGGCUACACGCGGGCUACAAUGGUUGGUACAAUGGGCAUCUACCCCGAAAGGGGAAGGAAAAUCUCUUAAAGCCAAUCGUAGUUCGGAUUGAGGGCUGCAACUCGCCCUCAUGAAGCUGGAAUCCGUAGUAAUCCGCGUUUCAACAGAACGCGGUGAAUACGUCCCUGCGUCCUU
rnacentral:rRNA from 1 species